rnacentral:misc_RNA from 1 species
AUUAUUAUUAUUGUUCAAUUUAUGCAGAGGAGUCUCUCUAGAAGUAUGAUUUCUGCCUUUAGCUUGUGGAUGAAUGGCUGUAAUUAGUCUAUGCAAGUGCUGGAUUCACAUAAAAAAAAGAGCUAUAUGAAUAAUUAAACUCAACUUGGUCUCAAUCCCAAUUUAGCUGAGGUCAAACAAACUCAAUUGAGUUAAUUUAUAUGGCAUCUCUGCCUCUCCAAUCCCACCACAAAUGAAAAAUUUUGACUGUAGUUGUGUGAACAUAAUCAGCUCCAGGCUUAAAUAAAGGGCAAUGGUUAGAUUAGGGGGGUAAUAGUUUUAGAGCGUAGGUGGAAACUAGAAUGGAAGCUGCUUAUCUCAGUGAUUGACUUAUAAAGUGUUUGGCUGUGUGUAGUUUUUCUUUGCG